UACGAAGGGGGCUAGCGUUGUUCGGAUUUACUGGGCGUAAAGCGCACGUAGGCGGAUCGAUCAGUCAGGGGUGAAAUCCCAGAGCUCAACUCUGGAACUGCCUUUGAUACUGUCGAUCUGGAGUAUGGAAGAGGUGAGUGGAAUUCCGAGUGUAGAGGUGAAAUUCGUAGAUAUUCGGAGGAACACCAGUGGCGAAGGCGGCUCACUGGUCCAUUACUGACGCUGAGGUGCGAAAGCCAGGGGAGCAAACGGG
rnacentral:rRNA from 1 species